ensembl:lncRNA
UUUGCUGACGGACUUCCCUGGGCCUGCUACCUGAGACCUGCUGCUUCCUCCCUGACCUGCACCCUCUCGUUGCCCAAGACCGGCCUCGCUGCUCCUGCCCUUCGGCCUCGGACCGUCGGAACAUCGUGCAACGGGACUGCUGCCGGAUCCUGGUGGUAGAAUGGAUCAUGUCCCAUCAUACCAGUCAGAAUUUAUUUUUCUGAGUAUUUUAGCCACCUGAUGUGAAGACACAAGCAUUUGAAAAAACAUGUGAUAGUGGAUCUACAGAGCAACCUUUAUAUUGCAGUCAAGAAGAAACGAAGAAAAUUGAUGUACAGUAGUGACUUCCCCAAUUUGUUGAAAUGAACUUAGUCAAGACCUAUCUGUCCUUUUCAAAGCAUUGCCACUAAGCAACUUUGGGCAACAUUGGCCUGUGCUAACAGAAAUAGUUAUUUCCUAAUGUUGUUAUCACAGAUUCUCCGGUAUUAACAAACAUCACAAUAUUGCACAGAACUAUAAUGGGCUGCUUCAGAAGGAAGGAGUCAGUAGAGAACUUGCAUGUAACCAAUGACUCACAUCACAUGGCAAAAGCAAGCAAGCCACUGCUCAAACAAGCUGCUAAAAUAGCACCCUGCAGCAGUCAGUUUUACAUCUCCAUCUCUACAACAAGGAUAUCUAUUUAACCUCCACUGAAGAUUACAUAAUAAAUACUUCGGGUGAUGUGACACAUUAACAGGUUACUCACCAACAUUACUUCAAAGUAUUAACGUCAACUCUAUAUUCAUGUUAAUAAUUCUGACGUGGGGUACAUCUGCUCUACUUUCUUUUUAAGUAGCACGUAAGUCUAAGAACUUGCUUCCUAAGGUCUAUGCCUCACAGUUUAGUUUUCUCCUACCUUUUCUUGUUGCAGUUCACUGAUGUUAGAUGUAAUAGAUGGUUGCUGCUGCUUUGUAAUGUUUAUGUUUCCAGCUGGCCCAGAACACCGUGUGUCGCUAUGCUCAAGGGUACUUAAAAGUGCACUGAAGUUUGAGGUACUUUGAGGCAUGCAGAAGCCACCUGAAGUACUGACACAUUAUCUGAAAGAAAAAGAAAAAAAAAAAAGAAACAAAACUGGUUACAUCAGUACCAAACACAUUCUUUCAUCUUCAACAAGUAAUUUUACCCUGUGGGGCUGUUUGAUGAAGUUGUAUGCAAAAGAUAACUAACGUGAAAGAAACGUAUGUAUGCCAAACAGCUUUUGGUUAUCUCAUUUAUCCCAGGAACUUCCAGUACAUCACAAAAGUGAGAAUAAUUGAAGGCCACUAGAAAUACAAUGUCACAUUGCUACAGCACUAUGUGCUAGUGCACUAUGCAACCCAGUUGUGAUAUUCCGUCUACUUUGGCAACUUCAUCAUCUUAGGGUACCUGGAAGAUUGCCAAUAUAUUUUCUUUACCUGUAAAUUCUUAUGUAUACAGCAGAUUGGAUCGGAUUAGAGGUAAAAAGAGUGCAUUAUAGAAAUGCGUGCAAUCGUUUGCAUAAUUACACACAGGGCACGUUAGUAGGGCGUUUGUGAGCAUAAAGUUUCUUUUGCUUCCCAGAACUUUCACACGCACUUGAGUUUGUUUCAUACUUCGGAUUGUUCCACUAAAUGGCAUACCAUGAUAUACAGCUAAGCAAUCUGCUGGAUCAGUCGUACAGCCACACAUGUUUUUUCCACAUGUGCCUACCAAAAAUAUCAGAGCCUCCAUAUAGCUUUCUUCUUUAAAGUAAAUAGUAAGGAAAAGACCGUUUUAUUCCUCUCCCAAACUUCAGUCCCAGUAGGCAAAGUAGAGCGUUAGUGUUUGUGAAAUGUAUGGGCAACAAAAAUGAACAAAAUAUGGCAUAAACUAUCAAACAGACAAAACCAGAUUGGCUAAUGGCCAAUUUGAAGUUAAAUAUAUCUCUAAUGCUUUUAUACUUUUUGAACAAUGAGAAUAACUAACCAAAAGCAAAAAGCUAACAGAAUCUAAUUUGCAGUUAAAGCUUACCUUUAGAAAUACAUUAAUUAACACACAAUACUGUAGGCAGAACAAUUCAUAAUUUUUGUCUGUGAUGAUGAGUAAGAUAAGCCUGUACUCAUUUUAGGAACUUGUUCCUUGUUGCUAAAACUGAGUAGCUUUACUUUACAUUGUAACAUGAUGCAUAUGAAAAACAACUCUUUUCUUGUAAUUGUUGGAAAGAUUUAAGAAUCACUGUUAACCAAAAUCACAUUUUUCCUUCGAAUGUUCCAAAAGGCAUUUAAGAAAAAAAACCUAUGCAGGUAGGUAGAUGUCACUUUACCUGAAGAAUGAUAAAUUGUGCCUGCUAAUCUGAAGACUAUCUUCUCACAACAAUAAAAUUACCACUGUGCUGUUUACUCAGGUAGCAAGAGAGCUGCUCACUUUAAGAACGCUUUGGUAACCUAACAGGGCCUGGGACCGAAUGAAAUGGCUUCAUUUCAUUUUGGGCAGUGCUGUGCAUCUUUGUGCACCUAAAAUAUCAAUGGAAUUUAAACUAUAGUGUAAACUAGAGUUACAUGCUUUAUACAAUCAGGGCUGAAUUUUAAAUCAAGCCAGACUGACUGCUUUCUUACAGAGCUUCAACUGAACAAAACACAUGUAGACAAUUAGCCUCAUUUUAGAAGUUUGCCAAGCCCAGAGAAGAGCUGGAAACGUAUCCCUCAGUGUUUCUCAUUAGAACCUGACUGACUGAAAGGGUUUGAUAGGAGAAUGGCUAGUUCAUGGCUGGCCUUUCAUCUCAGAGACCGGUGUGUAAUGUGCCCCAGAUUCUGCAAGUGUGAGUUAGGUUGUGUCAGCACAGUCUUAACUGGAAGUUGUGUUCCAGAGCAAAAAACAGUGCAUAACUCAGGGCAGUGCAGCUGGGUGCAGGCAUGGCAGUAGGAGCACAGGGACACGUGAACUGCUGCCCACCUGCCUGGCCCUUCCUGCUGCUCCCGCAAUGCCUGCUCUCCCAUCUGGCACGCUGUGUAUACAAAGAUCACUGCCCCCAGAGCUCUGAUCCAACUGUGUUGGGGCUAUUGUUAAAUUGCCUGAAAAUAAAUGCAGUCUUGCUCUCCUCAUAAAUUAAAAAAUCUA